GCUCAGGAGAACAGGGGGAACAGAGAGAUGCAAGUCUUCCUAAUGUCUACCUUACAUGCAGGGAAGAAAAUUUGCAGUGCACUUUAGAAUGAUUCUGAUUUUACUUUUGAAAGUAAGAGACUUCAUGGAGGGAAAAACAAUAGGAAAAUACGUGUACCUCUAUGAUGAUGCUCUCUCCUCCCCUGACUUCCACUAUUACUUUACCUCUUGACAGCGAAUGCCUGCCUCAUAAAUCAUUUAUCACCAAGAACUUUGAAAAUAGUCAUUCUCUGCCAGCGAACUUUACAAAUAUCCUUCCCAGCCAGCAAAAAAAAAA